UUAUGGGGUGCCGUCGGGGCUGAGAGUUCUAGAAUAACUGGAACAACCCUUUGAACCUGAUCCGGGUAAUGCCAGCGAAGGGAAUAUGGGAU
rnacentral:ncRNA from 1 species